rnacentral:lncRNA from 1 species
UCACCGGUCGAGAAAAUUAGGUGGAUAUUGAACUUGGCUUUGAGAACCAAUGCACGACCUUGAUAAGGGCUAAGGUUUUGGACGUCGUUUUCAUGACCAAGAAGCAAGCAAGAGUGCCCGAGAAAGCAAAAAGGUAUGUUCAUGAAAUUCAAAGCCUUUCACGCAAAAGUCGAAGACUUUAACAUGGGACUAUUUUCCCUACAUGCUAUCAUGCAAAACACAUGCAUCUUUAUCAAAGCCCUAAAAGAUGUAGCCAGGGAAAGUAUGCUACACGUAUAUCCAAGCAAAAACAGGUUAUAUGCAGUCAAGUUAAUCAUGCUAAGCAAAUCAAUGCAAUUGAUCAAUUGAUCUCACUCAAGCACGCACCAACAUGCAAACAAGCUAGGCUAAAUGAUAAUUACACAGUACAAAUGGUAAACAAGAAAGAAAUCAUAAAAGGUGAACGCACAGGAUUUCGAAGUAGCAAGACUACCUAAGGAGUUGAGUUUGAUUUCCCGAAAGAAAUGCCCGCACCCCUUGUGCUUCCAUGCUAAAGCCCCAAAAUCUUUGGGACACGUAGUAAAAAGAAGAAACGCAUGCCUAAUUUCAUCCUCAGAGCAAGCAGAGAAGGAAGAAAGAAGAAGAAAAAUUCAAAGGGUCAAGGAAAAAACUUCCUUACCUAACAAAACCUUGUCGCGAGCACGGAGAAGCAUGAACGGGAUAGAACAACCCAACACAGAAGAUAAGUAGAGAGGAAUUUGAAAGAAAAGCAGUUAUAGGAAAUUUGAAGAAGGAAUGAGAACUAAAGAGGAGAAAGAAGAGAAAGGACAAAUUAAAUACUUGUCUUAGGGAGAAGAGUAGUUUGUAACGGUUACUAAGUGAAGGUGGAGAAUACCCAGAGUUUCUCUAUAUGAUUGGACGUGCACGGAAGCAAGAGAACACAACAGCAGGGAUUUAUCAACUGCCACACGGGAAGAAGAAGAGUCCCAUUAGGAAGCCCACGUUCAAAAAAGAAAUCCCUUGGGCCUAAGGUUGAUUAUCUAGCCCACUCAAGGAUUCUCAUAGCCUAAAUAAUUAAGGGGGCCAAUGUUGGGGCCCAA